UCCUAUAACAGUGUCUCAAUAGGAUAAUCAAAAAAUUGUAUUAGUGUUUAUUAUGUAUAUUGUAAAAGACGACGAAUAUACAGAAGUUUGGGAUUGUAAAGACACGAUCGGAUUUAUAGGGUAAAAAAUGGGAGAAGUAUUAGUGAUAUAAAAUGUUUUAGAUUAACUGGAAGAUAUAUUUUUU